rnacentral:rRNA from 1 species
UACGUAGGGUCCGAGCGUUGUCCGGAUUUAUUGGGCGUAAAGAGCUCGUAGGCGGCUCAGUAAGUCGGAUGUGAAAACUCGGGGCUCAACCCUGAGACGCCAUCCGAUACUGCUGUGGCUUGAGUCUGGUAGGGGAGCACGGAAUUCCUGGUGUAGCGGUGAAAUGCGCAGAUAUCAGGAGGAACACCGGUGGCGAAGGCGGGUCUCUGGGCAGUAACUGACGCUGAGGAGCGAAAGCGUGGGGAGCGAACAGG